AAAGUGUGCUUGGAGGUCGAGUGUUUUGCGAUAAUUAUUAUCCCCUGAUGCCACAAUAUUGUUGUUUACCGAAUUGUACAAACUAUGGGGGUCAUAAAUUUCCAAAAGACAUCAAUUUAUGACAAAAGUGGCGCGUGGCCAUACGAAGAAUGGACCCCCCGACGAAGCGGUUAAAUUAUGGCAACCAGGAAAAUACGAUGUUGUGUGUUCCUCCCAUUUUAAGGACACGGACUACAAAAUCACACUAUUAGGUUAGAAUAUACAUGUAAAUUUUUUUUCGAAAACGAAUAUUAUGUUUUCAUUAGUUAUUUCUGAUGAAAUAUUUUCCAUUGGAUAAAUUUUAAUCAACUAGGCCUAUAAUAAACUAGGCCAUAUAUUUUGUGUACAAAUGCAUGCAUACUACAUGUAUGUUUACCAAUGUUUACAUUGGUGAAAACCGCGAGCAGAGUUAUUAUUCACCUCAACUGAUAACAAUAAUAAACAAUCAAUUUAGGGUUGUGGUUGUUAAAUGCUUUAUUUGAUUAUUUUUUAAUUCAACUUACUUUGUUCAUUUGUUUACAUUUUAUUUCAGUUAUUAUCCUUUUAUUUUGGCUUUGUUUGCUUUGUGGUUUGUUAUUAUUUUUCAGGGCCUCAAAUAACAGAAUUUUUAUGAUUAAGAGCUGGAUUUCAAAUUCCUUGAACAAAUAUGAGGAUCCACUUGUUCCAUGAAACAUAAGAUUUCAAUUUUAGUUCAGAAUUUUAUCUUUAUUUUGACAAGCUCUAGACAUUUCAUGCAUGUAUUCUUGUUCUGUUAAUAUCAGUUAUUUUAUGAAUUAUACAGUUCAUUUGUUCAAAUGAAAAAUAAAAACUGAAUUAUAUGCAAGAGCUUUAAAAUUGUACAUAAAAUUCAUUGGUAUUAUGGAGCACUUAAAGCAGAAAAAACCUUUUUUUCAAUUCAGGUGAACGUCCAAGACUGAAUAAAGGAUCAGUGCCUUCGAUAUUCCCAUUUGCCCUUUCUUUAUCUAGUAAUGACUUCCUGAAUGAUGAAAGCCCUAGAUGUUUAAGGAGGAAAAACAGAGAAGGCAUGCUUGUUACCAAUGACCAACAUUUACCGGUAUGUACAGAAGUUCUGAGUGUUGUCGAAGUAAAAGACACUCCCGAGAUUCAGAAUUCUUCAUCAAUCGAGACACCUGAGGAAGACCUGCAUGGACAGUUUGAUCAGAGUGUGCAGUGUGAACUGAAAACAUUUGGUAAAUUUUCUGUCAAAAUUUUUGAGUUAGCUCUAUUCUUUGGCAUUUCAGAAUCUUCUGUGUCACGCAUAUUUAAUACAUGGCUAAACUUUAUGUAUUAACAACUGAAAGAGUUAUGCAUAUGGCCAUCAAAAGAUAUUAUUCAACAGUUUAUGUCUGCUGAUUUUGGACGAAAGUUUCCCAACACAUGUGUCAUUCUUGAUGCUACCGAGCUUCCUAUUAACAAACCAUCAGAUGUGAAUGCUCAGAGUAUCACAUGGACUGCUUAUAAACACAAGAACACACUGAAGACUAUGAUAGGUUGUACACCAAAAGGUGCUGUAAUUUUUGUCUCUAAAGCAUAUGGUGGAUUAGCGAGUGACCGACAAAUCAAUGAAAAUUCUGAGCUUCUUAAUCCAGAUUUAAAAAUGUUUGAAAAGGGGUACAGUGUAUGGUAUCAUGGUUCAAGACCUCUUCGCCUCCCAAGAUGUGUAUGUCAACACUCCAACGAUGUUGAAAGGGAAAUCCCAACUGGAUCCACAGGAAGUUAUCCGUGAUUGCAACAGAGUUUUAAUGUAUUUCAUUCAUCAUUUCUGAAAAACGGUUUCCUUGAUAUACCCAAACAAUAAAGUAUUCAUACCAUGUAAAUUUACAAAGAUUUUCAUUUCUUUACAUGAACAAUGUUAAAUUAUCUGAAAAUUUAAUCAUUACAUGACAGAAAUGCUAAUAAACAUAUUUAGAAACACUUGCAGUACUU
rnacentral:misc_RNA from 1 species